AUUGAACGCUGGCGGCAGGCCUAACACAUGCAAGUCGAGCGGCAGCGGGAAAGUAGCUUGCUACUUUUGCCGGCGAGCGGCGGACGGGUGAGUAAUGCCUGGGAAAUUGCCCAGUCGAGGGGGAUAACAGUUGGAAACGACUGCUAAUACCGCAUACGCCCUACGGGGGAAAGCAGGGGACCUUCGGGCCUUGCGCGAUUGGAUAUGCCCGGGUGGGAUUAGCUAGUUGGUGAGGUAAUGGCUCACCAAGGCGACGGUCCCUAGCUGGUCUGAGAGGAUGAUCAGCCACACUGGAACGGGGACGCGGUCCAGACUCCUACGGGAGGCAGCAGUGGGGAAUAUUGCACAAUGGGGGAAACCCUGAUGCAGCCAUGCCGCGUGUGUGAAGAAGGCCUUCGGGUUGUAAAGCACUUUCAGCGAGGAGGAAAGGUUGAUGCCUAAUACGUAUCAACUGUGACGUUACUCGCAGAAGAAGCACCGGCUAACACCGUGCCAGCCGCCGCAGUAACAC
rnacentral:rRNA from 1 species